rnacentral:snRNA from 1 species
GGAUGUAAGCAUGACCUGGGUGAGGUAUAUAUCAACCUAUUUAUCAUCAGGGUUUAUUUGAGUGAUGUAUCUGGCUACAUGAGCGUCACCUUUCUCCCUCACAUUUCCUUGUGUCUACCUGUAGAAACUACAUGCUUUAUCAAAGAGGACAACUGCCUCUAAUAGGGAAGGAUAGUUCUUUGGUGUUGGUUAUAUGCAUU